rnacentral:rRNA from 1 species
UGGGGAAUAUUGCACAAUGGGCGCAAGCCUGAUGCAGCCAUGCCGCGUGUGUGAAGAAGGCCUUCGGGUUGUAAAGCACUUUCAGCGGGGAGGAAGGCGAUAAGGUUAAUAACCUUGUCGAUUGACGUUACCCGCAGAAGAAGCACCGGCUAACUCCGUGCCAGCAGCCGCGGUAAUACGGGGGGUGCAAGCGUUAAUCGGAAUUACUGGGCGUAAAGCGCACGCAGGCGGUCUGUCAAGUCGGAUGUGAAAUCCCCGGGCUCAACCUGGGAACUGCAUUCGAAACUGGCAGGCUAGAGUCUUGUAGAGGGGGGUAGAAUUCCAGGUGUAGCGGUGAAAUGCGUAGAGAUCUGGAGGAAUACCGGUGGCGAAGGCGGCCCCCUGGGCAAAGACUGACGCUCAGGUGCGAAAGCGUGGGGAGCAAACAGG